GACCUAGUUCCAGCCCCUCCCGAGGCCCCAGCCUUUUCCAUGCCCGGGACUCGAUCCAAACCUAUCUCAUAUUCAUGUUUCCAAAAUUUUUUAAAAUUUUUGAUUGUCCAGACAGGCAGGGACCCAGCCCUUUUCUCUUCCCACAGUUUUCGGAGGGGAGGGGCCACUUGGGCCUUCCAAUCCAAUGUUCCAGGGGAACUCAUACAACUACAAGGGGAUUGGGCCAGUGAUGCCUAUAAGAUUUAUUUAGAUCAUUCCCUAGAGCAGAAAAUGCAAGUGGCUAACUUUGUAAAAAAUUCCAUCAUCACCUUUCAAGCUGCUUUUUACAAAUAAUCAUUUGGUCAUCCUUUUUGGGGCCGAGGGCUUGGUGGUUUAAUAUAAAAUUUAGAGAACUUUUGCUUAUCUAUUGUAUGUAAUAUUACUAUUUGGUGCUAUUUGUGCGAGAGUGGAAACUUGUAUAGUAUGUUUGAUGUGCUUAAUUAAUAUAACAAAUUUAAUUUAUUGAUUGUCUGCCUUAUAGGGCUCAUAUGUAAAUUAAAUUAUUCUCAUAUUUGUAGCCCUUUCACCCUGUUCAGAAUUUAUGGCGAUUUAUCAUGAAUGGACUUUAAUGUGACUCUAUAGUUCGAUCUGGGGUGAAAGGGCUUUUUGUAUUGUAUUAUUUAGUUUCAUUAAAUGCCAAAACUAAAA